rnacentral:tRNA from 1 species
CAGGGAGACAACACAAUGAUUUUGAUGCGUGAGUACUUUUAUUCUUAGGCCGAAAUCCUGUCACCUUAGGUCGAUCGGUACCUCAGAUUUGAAGUCAAAAAUUGGCAGAAAUGUUAAUUGCUUGAUGGACAUUUUCAGUUCCUAAACUUUGUCUAGGUCACACCCCAAAAGGGAUGAGACUCCUGGGCCAUUAGCUCAGGUGGUUAGAGCGCACCCCUGAUAAGGGUGAGGUCCCUGGUUCAAGUCCAGGAUGGCCCAUUCGGUGUUGGGGGUUUAGCUCAGUUGGUAGAGCGCCUGCUUUGCAAGCAGGAUGUCAGGAGUUCGAGUCUCCUAACCUCCACUGACCGAACUUUAUCCCCGCUCCAAGUUAUGGAGUUGAGCUCGUUUGGUGUGUGAUUUAGAUGUGUCCGCUGGAUGACCCCAGCUUCCUGUCAUUCCAAGUUUUAAGUUUAAAACUUUGAAUUUGGUUGAUAAGAUGCUGGGCUCAAAUCAAACGAUCAAGCAAUUGAUGAUUUGAUUUGAAGUUCUAGCAGAACCUUGACAACUGCAUAGGUGAGUCUGGAAAAACAAAGCAUCUUACAGAUGCAUUGUUUUGAAUCUAAUUUUUCGAAAGGAAGAUUGGAUCUAGAACAAUGAAAAUUCUUUUGAGCAAGAGCCGAGACUCUUGAACGUUCUUUGAUUCGUGUCGAGCGAAUCAGAGUUUGAUCUUGUUUUUAGUAAUAAAAACUUGAGAAUCUGCUUUCAACGGCGGUAAGCGUUCAGGAGGUUAAUU